rnacentral:rRNA from 1 species
GAUGAACGCUAGCUACAGGCUUAACACAUGCAAGUCGAGGGACCGGCGCCCGGGUGUGUAACACGUAUCCCACAUGCCCUUUCCUCGGGGAUAGCCUUUCGACAGCAAGAUUCAUACCCGAUAUAAAUGUUGGGGAUGCGUUCCAUUUGGUUGUUGGUGAGGUAACGGCCCACCCAGCCUUCGAUGGAUAGGGGUUCUGAGAGGAAGGUCCCCCACAUUGGAACUGAGGCACGGUCCAAACUCCUACGGGAGGCAGCAGUGAGGAAUAUUGGUCAAUGGGCGGUAGCCUGAACCAGCCAAGUAGCGUGAAGGAUGAAGGCUUAUGGGUCGUAAACUUCUUUUAUAUAAGAAUAUGUAUUAUAUGAAUAAGGAUCGGCUAACUCCAUGCCAGCAGCCGCGGUAAUUC